CUGUAGGUGGAGGUAUGGGACUGUAGGUGGAGCUAUAGAGGUAUGGGACUGUAGGUGGAGGUAUAGAGGUAUGGGACUGUAGGUGGAGGUAUAGAGGUAUGGGACUGUAGGUGGAGCUAUAGAGGUAUGGGACUGUAGGUGGAGGUAUAGAGGUAUGGGACUGAAGGUGGAGGUAUAGAGGUAUGGGACUGUAGGUGUAGGUAAAGAGGUAUGGGACUGUAGGUGGAGGUAUAGAGGUAUGGGACUGUAGGUGGAGGUAUAGAAGUAUGGGACUGUAGGUGGAGGUAUAGAGGUAUGGGACUGUAGGUGGAGGUAUAGAGGUAUGGGACUGUAGGUGGAGGUAUGGGACUGUAGGUGGAGCUAUAGAGGUAUGGGACUGUAGGUGGAGGUAUAGUGGUAUGGGACUGUAGGUGGAGGUAUAGAGGUAUGGGACUGAAGGUGGAGGUUUGGGACUGUAGGUGGAGGUAUAGAGGUAUGGGACUGUAGGUGGAGGUAUAGAGGUAUGGGACUGUAGGUGGAGGUAUGGGACUGUAGGUGGAGCUAUAGAGGUAUGGGACUGUAGGUGGAGGUAUAGAGGUAUGGGACUGUAGGUGGAGGUAUAGAGGUAUGGGACUGUAGGUGUAGGUAAAGAGGUAUGGGACUGUAGGUGGAGGUAUAGAGGUAUGGGACUGUAGGUGGAGGUAUAGAGGUAUGGGACUGUAGGUGGAGGUAUAGAGGUAUGGGACUGUAGGUGGAGGUAUAGAGGUAUGGGACUGUAGGUGGAGGUAUAGAGGUAUGGGACUGUAGGUGGAGGUAUAGAGGUAUGGGACUGUAGGUGGAGGUAUAGAGGUAUGGGACUGUAAGUGGAGGUAUAGAGGUAUGGGACUGUAGGUGGAGGUAUAGAGGUAUGGGACUGUAGGUGGA
rnacentral:lncRNA from 1 species